rnacentral:rRNA from 1 species
AUACGUAGGUGGCAAGCGUUGUCCGGAAUUAUUGGGCGUAAAGCGCAUGUAGGCGGUGCCUUAAGUCUGUCGUGAAACUGCGGGGCCUAACCCCGUAUGGCGAUGGAAACUGGGGCACUUGAGUGCAGGAGAGGAAAGGGGAACUCCCAGUGUAGCGGUGAAAUGCGUAGAUAUUGGGAAGAACACCGGUGGCGAAGGCGCCUUUCUGGACUGUGUCUGACGCUGAGAUGCGAAAGCCAGGGUAGCGAACGGGAUGAGAUCCCCCGGUAGUCCUGGCCGUAAACGAUGGGUACUAGGUGUGGGAGGUAUCGACCCCUUCCGUGCCGGAGUUAACGCAAUAAGUACCCCGCCUGGGGAGUACGGCCGCAAGGCUUAAACUCAAAGGAAUUGACGGGG